GACGAACGCUGGCGGCGUGCUUAACACAUGCAAGUCGAACGGAAAGGCCCUGCGUUUGUGGGGUGCUCGGGUGGCGAACGGGUGAGUAACACGUGAGUAACCUGCCCUUGACUUUGGGGUAACUUCAGGAAACUGGGGCUAAUACCGGAUAGGAUCUCCUGCUGCAUGGUGGGGGUUGGAAAGUUUCGGCGGUUGGGGCUGGACUCGCGGCUUAUCAGCUUGUUGGUGGGGUAGUGGCUUACCAAGGCUUUGACGGGUAGCCGGCCUGAGAGGGUGACCGGCCACAUUGGGACUGAGAUACGGCCCAGACUCCUACGGGAGGCAGCAGUGGGGAGUAUUGCACAGUGGGCGGACGCCUGAUGCGGCAACGCCGCGUGCGGGAAGACGGCCUUCGGGUUGUAAACCGCUUUCGCCUGUGACGAAGCGUGAGUGACGGUAAUGGGUAAAGAAGCACCGGCUAACUACGUG
rnacentral:rRNA from 1 species